rnacentral:rRNA from 1 species
CCUCAAAUAAUGUGUGAGUACCCCCUAAAUUUAAGCAUA